UACGAAGGGGGCUAGCGUUGCUCGGAAUGACUGGGCGUAAGGGCGCGUAGGCGGUUCGGACAGUCGGGCGUGAAAUUCCUGGGCUCAACCUGGGGGCUGCGCACGAGACGUUUGGACUAGAGUAGGGAAGAGGGUCGUGGAAUUCCCAGUGUAGAGGUGAAAUUCGUAGAUAUUGGGAAGAACACCGGUGGCGAAGGCGGCGACCUGGUCCUUGACUGACGCUGAGGCGCGAAAGCGUGGGGAGCAAACAGG
rnacentral:rRNA from 1 species